AUGACACUUUGACCACUUUUCAAACUUAUGUAAACAUGGUAUCUCAUAAAACGCUGCACCCAAUGUCUUCAGUUAUGUCGACAGCCUACAUUGGGUGAUUACGCAGACACCAGUCAUUUCAGGGUGACUUUGACCGUGCGGGGAGGGACAUUGUCAUGUUAGUGGCAAACACUUGUUAUCAUUAGUCUCUAGCUGUCAGUGUUUAGUAUCAGCACAUGGUGACACCCCCCCCUCUCCCAAGACCCCACACUGAGACCUGUUCCUUCUCUGUCCCCCUAACACCCACCCCCACCCCCCUCUCUCACUCAGAAAAUAAGUGUGAUUACAUUGAAGAAAUAUCUCCCUUUCAUUUUUACUCCUGAGAUGGAGGUUAAUGACUAAAAUGUUGGCAUGUAUGGGUAAAAGUGAAUAACAAUAUUGAUGAGGGGGUGAGGUCUAAAAUGUUUGCAUUUAUGUGUAAAAGUGAAUAAUGAUAUUGAAGAUAUGGCAGUGGAAGGGAGUGUCUUUGGGGAGAGGUGUUGGGGCAUAUUCCUGUCACACACACUUUCAGUGGCAUGUAGGUGAUGGAUGAUCAGAAUCAGAAUAAUUCCACACAAUUAUGGCUCUGCAGAUUUUUUUAGCCUCUGAAAAUGAAGAAAGUCUCUUGGAUCCCUUGCAUUAUAUUUUAUGAAAAUAAUCUGGAGACUGCUGUAAAAUAUGUUCAUUUCAGAGACUAGAUGUUAGUCUACAGACGAAACUGACAAAUGAAUAUUCAUAUUGUAGGAUGAAGUAUUGAGAUGUGUGAGUACUUCAUUUCUCUACCUUGUUGAACUGUGUGUGAAUUCUAGUCAUUGUUUCAGUAACCAAGGCAACACUGUAUUUUUUAGUCCAUAUUUAGAUUAGCUUCACCUAAUGGUCCUUAUGUGUUACUUGAUGGACAUUUCUCAUCUCUUUAUGGACACAGUAGCUCAUUAGUGUCUUAGAUUAAGAUGAGUGAGUGAGUUUUAGUUUUACACCACUUUUAGCAAUAUUCCAGGAUUGUCAUUGUGGGGGACACCAGAAAUGGGCUUCACCCAUUGUACCCAUGUGGGGAAUCGAACCCGGGUCUGUGGCGAGAUGAGAGAACGCUUUAACCACUAGGCUACCCCACAGCCCCAGAUUAAAAUGAGGAUUGGAUGGCCAUGUUGUGUGCCUUUACAAUCUGCUUAUCAUUGUACGUUAUUAGUGUGGCAUGUUACUCAUGCUAUCGACCUCCGCUCUGUUGGAAGAUUGGCUUAGAACUGGUCAUCACUAUUUUAGAGGUUAUUUAUCAGAGGUUACUAAUGAGAAGUUACUUAGGAGAUGAUACUUAUGAGAGGUUACUUAUAAGAGGUUACUUUUGAAAGGUUACUUGUAAGAGGUUACUUAUAAGAGGUUACUUUUGAAAGGUUACCUAUAAGAGGUUACUAAUGAGAGGUUGCUUAUGAGGUUACUUAUAAGAAGUUACUUAUGAGAGCGGUUAUUAAUGAGAGGUUUCUUAUGAGAGGUUACUAAUAAGAGGUUACUUUUGAGAGGUUACCUAUAAGAGGUUACUUAUGAGAGGUUGCUUAAUGAGAGGUUACUAAUGAGAAGUUACUUAUGAGAGGUUACUAAUAGGAUCAUGCAAUGUGUGAAGCCAAUUUCUGCUGUCCCCUGCCAUGAUAUUACUGGAAUAAUGCUAAAAGCAGCAAAAGACUAAACUCACUCACUCACUGAUCAGGUGGUCAGGCUUGCUGACUGGGUUGAGUCAUGUCAUUAUGCAUGCUAAAAAUUGUGAACAUCAGUUUGUGAAAAUCUGUUUGUGAAGAUCAGUUGUGAAGGUCACUUUAUGAAGGUCUGUUUGUGAAGAUCAGUUUGUGAAGGUCUGUUUGUGAAGAUCAGUUUAUGAAGAUCAGUGAUCCCCUAUUGAUAUAAGUCAGACAUUCUAAUCCGCCAUUGUGUCCAGCUAAUCCCCAUUCAACCAUGUGACAAGGUUUUUUAUGAGUGGCUUAUUCCCACUCAGACUUUAACUUGGGGCUCGCUGGAGAAGCUGGGCCAUCAGAUUCUGAAUAAUCAAAUUCGAAGGUAUAAACUAUUUGCCAAUUCUAAAACAUACAUUAUACAUGAAAACUGUUUCAAAUUUAUCACUCAAUUUUGUGAUUGUCGUAAAAAUAUAUUUUAUCAUUAAAUAUUGUGUUGGUGUUGGGAAGCCUAUUUGCAGCUUUCCUUGUGAGAUGGUGGUGGACAGACCUAUAAUGGUGCAAGGAUUACACACACCAUAUGUGCUGUAACGUUUGAUACAGAAUUAACCCUAUUUUUAUGUAACUGCCACUGUCCAAAGACAAGCUGUGCCAAAUCUUAGAAGACCCAAAAUACAUGUAUUAUUUUUUAAUCAUAAAUGCUUUAAUUCAUAGUUUCUCAUUGACACGUCACACGUAGAACAAGGGCAGGUAACUCUAACAAAAUAAUAUUGUGCCAACACACCUUGUGUUACAGACCCGAGAAUAAUUUUUGGGGAAAAAUGGACAAAAUUUGAUUUUGACCAAAACCAGAGACAAGGGCAUUAUGUUAUCUAAUGCGACAGUUGUUUGAGCUGAAGUAUCACCAUUUGUCAAUGGUAAUGUUUUCUAUAUUAUAAGUAUUCUUGGGGCAGUUUACUUCCAGCAUAUCUGAAAAAUGACAUUUUGUGUUUUGAUAUUUUUCGUAAUAGUUUACAUUAUGGUUAUAUGGUUUUGUUGCUAGAUUUGUAGGACAUUUUGACACCAUUUGUGUUUUUCCUUUAAAAGAAGUUGAGCAUCAGAUAUUAUAUCAUACAAUGUUUAUCAAUCCAUAUUUGGGCUCUAAGAAGUAUUUUAUAUUUGUUUACUUUGCUUCAGACGUCAAACUUCAAACACAAUGCAUGAAUACAACAGUAUCACGUUUCACCUGGUUUCUGGCAACAACUACAUGUUGUAUCGUGUUGUACAGCCACAGUGAGCAUGCGCAGUGUAGUCGUGACCAAUCGUCACCACUCGCCCUUUUCCGUAACUUCCAAAAAGAAGUCUUGUCCCGGAAUAAAACGAGUUGGUCACGAAUGUCCUCUGGUCCCGGAAUAACACGAGUUGGUCACGAAUGUCCUCUGGUCCCGGAAUAACACGAGUUGGUCAUGAAUGUCCUC
rnacentral:lncRNA from 1 species